CCCGGACCCACCUCCCCUGCAGCCAUCCCGCACUCUUGAGGGGCCGGGCCCUGGCUGAGCGCUGUUCCUAGGCCCUGGAUGGCGGUGUGGAUCUCCGUCCUUGUCAGGGUAAUUUCCUCUUCUGUUUCCAGCAUUUCGAGUAAAUUCCUUUCUAAUCAUUAGGUGCCCUAGAGAGGACAGAUGCAUGGCUGUGGAGUCUUGUUCUGUGAUAUGUCAGUUUACUUGACGCACGUUCAAAACUGCAAAAUGCUGGUUCCUACCCGUCUCUGAUGUCACCAAAGGCUGCCCAGAGGCCUGCAGCACAUUGACGAUGGUCUUAGUAUUACACAGCUGUCUGACCAGUACCACAAAUCCAGAGUCCAAGCAGCUCAGGUUUGCCUUCUCCCUGUCUGUGUGGGUCCAGCGCCCUGGGCUCAGCAGGGCCUCCUGCUCCUGCUCCUGUAGGGUGGGCUGGGCCUUCCCACACGGGCCUGGGGAGGAGCCUCUCCUAGGUGCUGGCAGGGCCCUGGCCUUUACUUAUUCCCUCUGAUGCCAGCCAGCUACUGCAGCCCUGGUGGCGUCUCCCUGGGGGUGCCCGGGUGCAGGUGUCCGCUGCCGGGCCGUGGGUGUCUCAUUCUGUGUCCGGACCUCUCUGUGAUGUGAACCUUGGGCUUUUUUUUUUUUUUUUUUUUUUUUUCAGAUGUUAAGGGAGUCCACCACAUGUUUCCAUGUUUUACUGUUCCUGGAACUGAAUUUGUUUGUGAUGUGAGUCAGAAAUCCUGUCACAUUUUUCCACGUGGAUAUCCAGGGCCCCCGCCGUUUGUGGGAAGGCCGCACCUUCUGCCCGCUCUGCUGUCCAUCCGCGUGCCCAUCUCCAUGGGUUUCUCUCUGCACGGCUUGUUCUGUCCUGCAUGUCCAUCCUUGAGAUCGUUUUUCUCUGGCUUAAUGAUUACAGCUGUACGUUUCAUUUUCAUGGCUGGGAUCUGCAGGACGAGCUUACAUAUAGGUCCUUGCUGAUUUUUUUGCCUGCCUUUUCCAUUAGUUCCUGAGACAAGCAUUUUAAAACCAAACAACAUAACUGAGGAGCUGUCUGUCACCCUUCGUGAUUCUGAAAACACGUGCUGCAUGUGUUUUGAGGUUGUUAUUUGGAGCAUGUGCAUUUACAAUUGUCUUACUGCCUUUGCAGUUUGAGUUUUUAUUAAAUGUUUCUCUUCAUCUCUGGUCAUGCUUUAUGCCGUAGAGUCUGUUAUUAGCAGAGCUACUCCAGGUUUAUUUUUCAUGAUAUUAUUUUCACUUCUUUUUACUUUCCAACUUUUAUAUCAUUAUGUUGAAGGUAUCUCUUUUGUUAAUCACAUAGUUGCAUUGUGUUUUCUUUUUUCAAAUAUGUAUGAGCAGCAUAAAAUUGGAUGUUCCUUUGAAACAACAGCAGUCAGAAGUCCAUGAGGAGGUGUCUUCUGACUGCGAGGAUAAGGGUGGAUCACCUUAAUGCAAUCAGGGAAUGAUGUGUUAGAAGCAUCUAUAGUUCCUGCUUCCCCUAAUUUCUAGCUGUAGCCAUUUGAAGAUUCUAAGCAAGUCCUCAACUGUUCAGCAGAGCCUCUGGUCCAGCAUGAGACCAAAACCCAGGCUCCCAGUUUCUCCGCCUGUGCUGAGACCUUGUUUCCCAGGACCUCGGUGGACUUGGCUUUCAUGACUGGUGCCUCACCCCAGCACAUGUGCCUAAAAUAACAGAAAAAUACAGUGCCUGCAUGUUGGGAGCAAGCCCCCCAAAGUCUGGCCCCAAAACUGGCCAUAAAUAAAAUCUCUGCAGCAAUGUAACAUGUCCAUAAUGGCCAUAAAGCCCAAGCUGGAAGGUUGUGGGUUUACAGGAAUGACGGUAAGGAACACCUGGCCCGCUCAGGGCGGAAAACUGGUUAAAGGCAUUUUUAAGCCAUAAACAAUUAGCCUGAGCGAUCUGUGCCUUAAGGGCGUGUUCCUGCUGCAAUUAAUUCAGCCCAUCCCUUCGUUUCCCUUAAGGGAUACUUUCAGUUAAUUUAAUAUCCAUAGAAACAAUGCUAAUGACUGGUUUGCUGUUAAUAAAUAUGUGGGUAAAUCUCUGUUCGGGGCUCUCAGCUCUGAAGGCUGUGAGACCCCUGAUAUCCCACUUUACACCUCUGUAU
rnacentral:lncRNA from 10 species